AGUGAACGCUGGCAGCAGGCCUAACACAUGCAAGUCGAGCGGCAGCGCGGGGGCAACCCUGGCGGCGAGCGGCGGACGGGUGAGGAAUUCGUCGGAAUCUGCCUUUUUGUGGGGGAUAACGUAGGGAAACUUACGCUAAUACCGCAUACGUCCUACGGGAGAAAGUGGGGGACCGCAAGGCCUCACGCAGAAAGAUGAGCCGACGACCGAUUAGCUAGUUGGUGGGGUAAAGGCCCACCAAGGCGACGAUCGGUAGCUGGUCUGAGAGGAUGAUCAGCCACACUGGGACUGAGACACGGCCCAGACUCCUACGGGAGGCAGCAGUGGGGAAUAUUGGACAAUGGGCACAAGCCUGAUCCAGCCAUGCCGCGUGUGUGAAGAAGGCCUUCGGGUUGUAAAGCACUUUUGUCCGGAAAGAAAUCCCUGGAGCUAAUACCUUCGGGGGAUGACGGUACCGGAAGAAUAAGCACCGGCUAACUUCGUG
rnacentral:rRNA from 1 species